rfam:Aphanomyces astaci strain APO3 cont1.2999, whole genome shotgun sequence.
GGGGAAAUAACUCAGUUGGUUAGAGUUUUAGCUUGUCACGCUAAAGGUCGCGGGUUCGAGUCCCGUUUUUCCCG